GGAACACUGAAAAAAAAAAUAAAAUAAAAUAAACAAAACAAAACAAAAAACAAGCCUGUAAGAUUAUCAGCAGGGAAGUGGAUGUUGGUGCUUCUAGGAAAAGAUUCUGACUUAGAAUCUUAGAAUCUAAGAAGGUUCCAGACUUAGAGAGAGUUGGGUUCUCAGAACCUAGGAGGGCAGAGUGGUGGUGGGUUCUGUGGUUGAUGGUCAUCCUCAUGCAGGUUGGGACAAACACCUGUUCACAGAAGGGACUGAGUGAAGAUAGCUGGGCUCUGAGCAUUAAACAUCAUGGCCUUGGGGACUGCAGUGAAAGAGAAAAACAGAUACAGAGAUUAUCUAGAGGAAUUAGCAUGGUGAAAUAUCCAGGAUGAUUGUGAGAAAAGAAACAGUAUUAGAGGAGGAGCCUUUCAAGACUGCUGGAGUACUAACAGAUUCCUUAUGGAUGAACAAUAAGGAAUGGAACAAGGGUUUAAAUGGAAUGAUAUAUCUUAUUCCUGUAUAUGAAGAACAUUAAUUCAAAUAGGAGUGCAUAUUAAAUAACUACAUGUCAAUUUCUUGGCUUUGUUCAAUUCCAUAGAUCUUCUCCUCAUUACACUUUAAUAAACUGGAUUGCUCUUUUU
rnacentral:lncRNA from 1 species